UACGUAGGGCGCAAGCGUUGUCCGGAAUUAUUGGGCGUAAAGAGCUCGUAGGCGGCUUGUCGCGUCGAAUGUGAAAACCCACAGCUCAACUGUGGGCUUGCAUUCGAUACGGGCAGGCUAGAGUUCGGUAGGGGAGACUGGAAUUCCUGGUGUAGCGGUGAAAUGCGCAGAUAUCAGGAGGAACACCGGUGGCGAAGGCGGGUCUCUGGGCCGAUACUGACACUGAGGCACGAAAGCAUGGGGAGCAAACAGG
rnacentral:rRNA from 1 species